rnacentral:misc_RNA from 1 species
ACACGCAUGUCAGUUGCUGUUGGAUACGAACUCCACUAAAACCAAUCGUAACUCAUAUGCGCAGAAUGAACCUAUUUCAUUGAAUGGUGAGGAUAACCUCUCAUUGAAUGAAAUUUUGUAUACACGAGAAGUUGGACACAUUCCUGAACUAAUUCAGCAUUUACUAACUUCACAUGCCUUGUUCGAUUGUGUUCGUUUGAAUUUAAAAGACAAUGACAUUUAAGUAAUCCAAACACAACAAUUGUGAUAUGUCUGAUAUUGUCAAACAAGUAGUUAAUAUAAUUUUAAAUAAUUAAUACUCAGUAUGCAAACUACUGAAGAAUUCCCUUUUCCUUUUCCUCCCUAUUCUAUACAAGUUCAAUUUAUGAAAGAAUUGUAUAAUUGUUUGGAAAAUGCUAAGUUGGGAAUCUUUGAGAGUCCAACAGGUACCGGUAAAUCUAUGUCAAUCAUUUGUGGUGCUCUAAAAUGGCUUUUAGAUCAUGAAGAGUUUCAAAAGAACCAGUUGACAAAAGCGAUUUCUGAUUUUGAAGAAAAAAUAAAAAAGUGUACUAACUCAUCCACCAAUUGGUUUUCUGUGCAAACUGAACAAAUACAGUUAAAUAGCGAGAAACAAAUUCUUCAGACAAAGUUAAAUAGUAUUCUACAAUAUGAACGUAAAAAGAAUGGUCUAAAAGAAGCAGUUAAAAAUGUGGAUAAGAAAAAGAAAAGAUUUGGUCCUAGUAAACCAAAUCAAGGAAAAACUCAAACAGAAACUCAAACAGAAAAGAAUGCACCAGUUGAUGAAGAUAAUAAAGACACCAUUAUAGAAGAAGAAUUAUUGUUAGAAGAUAUAAUGCAGCAUUCAGAAAAUUCAGAAGAUGAAGACAGUGAAGAAGAAACCUUUGCAAACACUAAAAUUUUUUUCUGUUCUAGAACCCAUUCACAAUUAUCACAAUUCAUAAGAGAACUUAAAAAAAGUCCUUAUUCAAAAAAUGUAUCUGUUGUUCCAUUGGCAUCUAGGCAAAAUUAUUGUAUCAAUAAAAAUGUAAGGAAACUAAAACAUCAAAAUUUGAUUAAUGAACAGUGUUUACAAUUACAAAAAAAGAAAGCAACUGUAAAAGAUGAAAAAGAUGUUAAAAGAAAGAAGGUAGCAACUAGUUGCCCUUUUAUGCCAGGAAAUCAAGACUUACUGAUAGGAGAAACAUUAAUAGAGAUUCAAGAUAUUGAAGAGAUUGUACAAAAAGGGGAGGACUAUAAGACUUGUGCUUAUUAUGCAGCAAGAAAAGCUGUACCAACUGGUCAAUUAAUAUUAGUACCAUAUAAUUCUGUACUUCAUAAAAAUACUAGAAUUAGUUCAGGAAUUAAUUUAAAAGGAAAUAUACUAAUAAUUGAUGAAGCACAUAAUUUGCUUGAAGCUAUUGAAAGAAUGCACAGUGUUAUGAUUACAGGCAGAAAUUUAUUGCAUUGUCAUAGUCAACUUUCGCAAUAUCUGAAAAGGUUCCAAACUUUAUUUUCUGCAAAAAAUCUUUUAUACUUAAAUCAAUUAAGUUUUUGUUUGAAAAAACUUUUAACUAUUUUUGGUGCUACUACAAAAUCAACUCCUGAUGAUAGUAUAAGUGCAGAAACAAUUUCAAAGUCCUAUAAAAUCGAAGAAUUUGAAAUAAAAACAGAAAUUGAUACAAUAAAUAUAUUUGAGUUGUUAAAAUUUAUUAAACAUUCUCGAUUGAGUCAUAAAUUGCAGAGCUUUGUAGAACAGUAUGAUACUAAAAUAAAAGUUUGUAAACCUGAUGAAAAAACAUCUGGUAUUAAGCAUUUCUUACAUUCAAUUAAAACCAAAAGUUCAGAAUGUACCACAGAUACAGUUGCAGCUGUAGUGGAGGAAGAACAAUCAAAUAAUCCUCUGUUAUUAAUAAUAAGCUUCUUAGAAUCUUUACAAAAUAGAUGUACUGACGGACGCAUAUUUGUUAUCCCUGGUGCAACUCUUGGACAAAGUAUUAUAAAAUUUUUUUUAUUGAAUCCAGCAGCACACUUUCAUGAUAUUGUUCAAGACUCUAGAGCUGUAAUAUUAGCUGGUGGAACAAUGGCACCAAUGAAUGAAUUUACAGAACAAUUAUUUAUAGCAGCAGGUGCUGCACCUGAAAGAAUUGUUACAUUUUCAUGCGAUCAUGUAGUACCUAAAGAAAAUAUAAUAUGCUCAAUUGCAACUCAUGGUCCAACUGGUGUUGAAUUUGAAUUUAAUUAUCAAAAUCGACAAAAUAUAAAAUUGAUGGAUGAAUUAGGAAGAGCAUUAUUAAAUGUAUGUAAUAUUGUACCUGCUGGUAUUGUAGUAUUUUUACCCUCUUAUAAUUUUGAGGAACUGGUAUAUAAACACUUAGAAAAAUCUGGUAUCAUAACAAAAAUUUCUGCAAAGAAACAUGUUUUUCGGGAACCCAAAUCAACUUCUCAGGAAGGUGUAUCAUUGUGGUAGGAAUGCCUUACCCAAAUAUUAAAUCACCAGAACUCCAAGAAAAAAUGAAAUACUUAAAUGAAAAUGUUAAGGCAGAUGCUGGUCAAAAUUUAUAUGAAAAUUCAUGUAUGAAGGCAGUCAAUCAGUGCAUUGGACGAGCAAUUCGACAUAUUAAUGAUUA